rnacentral:rRNA from 1 species
GUCGAGCGGCAGCGGGAAAGUAGCUUGCUACUUUUGCCGGCGAGCGGCGGACGGUUUAGCAUAAUGCCUGGGAAAUUGCCCAGUCGAGGGGGAUAACACUUUGAAACGACUGCUAAUACCGCAUACGCCCUACGGGGGAAAGCAGGGGACCUUCGGGCCUUGCGCGAUUGGAUAUGCCCAGGUGGGAUUAGCUAGUUGGUGAGGUAAUGGCUCACCAAGGCGACGAUCCCUAGCUGGUCUGAGAGGAUGAUCAGCCACACUGGAACUGAGACACGGUCCAGACUCCUACGGGAGGCAGCAGUGGGGAAUAUUGCACAAUGGGGGAAACCCUGAUGCAGCCAUGCCGCGUGUGUGAAGAAGGCCUUCGGGUUGUAAAGCACUUUCAGCGAGGAGGAAAGGUUGAUGCCUAAUACGUAUCAACUGUGACGUUACUCGCAGAAGAAGCACCGGCUAACUCCGUGCCAGCAGCCGCGGUAAUACGGGGGGUGCAAGCGUUAAUCGGAAUUACUGGGCGUAAAGCGCACGCAGGCGGUUGGAUAAGUUAGAUGUGAAAGCCCCGGGCUCAACCUGGGAAUUGCAUUUAAAACUGUCCAGCUAGAGUCUUGUAGAGGGGGGUAGAAUUCCAGGUGUAGCGGUGAAAUGCGUAGAGAUCUGGAGGAAUACCGGUGGCGAAAGCCGCCCCCUGGACAAAGACUGACGCUCACGUGCGAAAGCGUGGGGGAGGAAACCAGGAAUAAAUACCCUGGUAGUCCACGCCCUAAACGAAGUCCAAUUGGAAGCUGUGGCCCUGAAACGGGGCUUCCGGAGCCAACGCGUUAAAUCGACCGGCCGGGGAAGGAGGGCGCCAGGGUUAAA